rnacentral:lncRNA from 1 species
UUUGUUAGUAUCUCAUCCAGAUCACCUGAACCUGAGUGAUGAAAAUCUAAUUAAUAAUAGAUUUUGUUUGCAUUUCUAAUUCUUAAAGUUGAUAAGGUUUUAUUUGUUUUUAUGUGGAGAUUAUGAGCUUAGCUAACUCCUUAAAACUUGGAACAAACCUAACAAUUUUUUUAAAAAAUUUUGAAUCUAUAUAUAAUUCCAACAAUUUAAUGUUUUUUUCAAAUAAAAUAACUACUUGGAGUUUGUAUUAAUUUUAAUCAAUUUUUGGGCCAAAUUUUUUUAUUGGGUAAAAUUGCAUAUGUAGUCCUGAAACUUUUCUCAAAGUUUUAUUCUGAUCCUCAAACUUUUACGCACAAUAUUUGAAGUCCCAAACUCUUAUAAAUAUCUCUUUUUAGUUAUUAUUAUCCUUAUUUAUUAUUACAUAAAUAAAUAUUAUCUACACAUAUACCAUCCAUUAUCGAACCAUAAAUUCUCAUCUCAUAUUUUAAAAUUUAAAAAUUAAAUGUUUAAACUAAAAGUAUGAGAUGGACGAGGGGCCAAUGAAUCCAUUAAUAAAAAAAUGAACUAAGUUUGAACAAUAUCUUUGUUUAAUUUUUAAAAAAAUUGAAAAUUUUAGAUGCUAAAAUAUCGAAUAUAUAAGGUUGAGAACCAAAAUAAAAUCAACUAAUAUUUCAAAGACUAGUACGAAAAGUUACUCUUUAUUUUUUUUGUAGAUUACUUUAUUUGUGAAAAUUAAUAUAUACUAGUUAAGGUAUUCACGGCGGGUAGUUAAUAUUAUAUUUAAUUUAUAAUUAAUAUUAGAAAGUAUAUUUUUAGUUAAAUAACACAAUAUUAAUAAAUUGUCAUUACUUAAAAAUAUUUUUUUUUACUGCUAAAUAAAUUUCAGAAUUAGUAUUCAAACAAAAAUUCAAUAUAGAGAAGCAAAAGAGAAGGAGAAACAAAUAUUUUUUUUGUUCACAGAUAGAAUAAUAUUUGAUGAAAAUUAUAUAAUUGAGAAUAUAUAAUUAUAAAGUGUUCACGGUUCACGUCCGAAAUAAAAUAUUAUCGUUAGUUGAAGCUUAAUUCGGUUUAGAGUUUGGUGCUUAUACAAAUUAAUACAAUCAUUCAAUGUGGAGCCCUCUGUCACGCCCCGGAUUACUCGUUCCCCCAGACACACCGACAAAUCCGCCGUAUACAAAAAAAAAAUUUAUGUAUACGAAGCAAUAGCUGUACCUGUACCUGUGAUCAUAGAAAACUACAACUAGUAGUAUACAGCUGCUACCAGAAUUGAAAACAUGCAUAAAUAAAUAUCGGGUUCACCAUACAUACAAGUCUCCAACAUACAGACAUCACUCGCCCCAACGAGUAUCCAACAUCAGUAUGUACAUGAACCAAAAGUCAAAACUAUCUGUAGCUGGUACUCUUCUAGAACAGCAACAAGACUGUAAGGGAUCUAGCUCGCAACUCCCUUUCCACGAUCAAUAUCAGCGAUAGCAGCAGCCGCAGAAGAAGGCUCUACAGAAAGGGGUCAACAACUGGGUAUGAGAACUACUGCAAAAAGAAGUAGUUCUCAGUAGGUACCGCUACCGACCUCAACGGCUCACCCAUUAAAUCUACAAAAAGUAUGCUCAAGGAUAGUAAAGGAAGCUAGAAGAACUCUACAGCUACAUGCCUCUAUACUAUCGCUAACCACUACUAUGUAGAUAUGAAGAUGCACUGCCUGACCCAAUCUCACUAGGGACUGUGAACACACCCGUCCUGCCUGUCGAAGCUAGACCGACCACCACCACGCUGGAUCGUCAGUGGAGAGCGAGUCCAACCAGGACACAACGACAACAACACAAACGCACUAUGCCCGACUCCGGAAUGGCACUCGUGGGUGCUACCCAACCGAAUAUGCAAGUGUGUCUCUGCCGAGCUCAAUCAGGCUCUCACAGGCUAUAAUCAAAACAAAUGGAUCUAACUCGCCUAACAACCAAAGCUCACGUGCCNUCGUCAGUGGAGAGCGAGUCCAACCAGGACACAACGACAACAACACAAACGCACUAUGCCCGACUCCGGAAUGGCACUCGUGGGUGCUACCCAACCGAAUAUGCAAGUGUGUCUCUGCCGAGCUCAAUCAGGCUCUCACAGGCUAUAAUCAAAACAAAUGGAUCUAACUCGCCUAACAACCAAAGCUCACGUGCCCUUGGCACAAUCUGAUGCAAAUACAGAAAUUUGGGUCCACCGUCAACCGCGACGACUCCCGACAGUCCGAAACAGUCUACACACUACUGUAAAAAUAAACUCGACAUCCUAGUACGAGCGUAAACUCAUCCUACACUAAUCUAGAUAUCCACCACAUACAAACUGCGGCGAUACUAACAAACUACAGCUCUUAAAGCUAAAUCUGGUAGUUUUUAGAAAAUUACAGUGUAGAACUUAUAGUUUUCGAUCUCCUAAGUCAAUUCUAUGUCCAACAUGUAAAAUUAAACUACUAGCUUAAUUCCGAUUUCAGAUUUAAACACUAAUCCAUAAAUUCGAGUACUAGCAAGAAGAUAAACGAAUGAUACAUGUCGACAAUGCUGAAACUUAGAAGAUAUUCCGACGAUUUCGGUAAACUCCAAGCCAUCUAAAAAAACUAGUCCAACUACGGCGAGAAGUCAAGAGAAGGGAAAACACGCGCUCGCCAGACCUUCAACGGCCCAACCACGACAUCCACACACUCGAACGACUCCUCGACGCAAUGUCGACGUCGAUCCGAGCUCAAGCCAUAGCCUCCACCAAGCACACAAUUAAAUUAGAGCGAGAGAGAGAAAGGAUAAUUACCCCUUCUCAGAAGAGUUGAGUGGGCUCCUUAAAUUUUACCUUCAUAAAAUUUUCCAAAUUAGCCUUUCGGCCGGAGCGGCGCAAAAGGAUGUUUAUUUUGCAGAAAAGGACGUCAAUAAUAGUCAAAUUAUUUUUUACCUCUUUUUUUAUUUUUUGUUUUUUCCUAAUUUUGUGGCGUUUAAAUCAAUAAUAUUACGAUCUUAUCUACUACGCGCCGAGUGUAGAUCAAAUAUUUGCAGUGGUGGAGUCUAACGGUUGAAAUUCGCUUCGUGUCCGGAUGAACAGCCUGAUUAACUGCUGUGGAGGAAUUUUCUAUAUGCUGUAUCUAUAAGGAAUUAGAGAGAGUGCAAUACCAAAGAGAGAGAGAGAAGUUGUAGAUUCUCUGUAGACCUGGUGCAUAGAUAAUGGCUUUUGUGGUCGUGUUGGCAGUUGAAAUAUGUUUCUAAACAACCGAAACAAUCGGUGCGUAGAAUUUUUCUGUGCAUACGAAAAAUCUCAACUCGGAGAGCUAUGAUAGCUCCAUUGAUAUAGAUAGCACCAAGAGAAUGUACGUGUGAAUUCUCUGUAGACCUGAUUCUCAUAAACAAGUGAUUCUAUCGAUUAUCUAAUAUAUAUAUAUAGAAUCCCUUGUACUCAUAAAUUUUUAAAAGUUGAUUGAUGGGAUGUGUGGUUAGGAUGAUGGUGGUCCACACUUAGAAUGAUAGUGGUCCCCUAGGGUUGAGUGGGUAGUUGGUUGAAUAGUAUGAUCUAACGGAUGGAAAUGAUCAUGGAAUAAAUCUAGGGGCAAAAAAUUUAUGAGUAUAAGGGAACCAAUACUCAUAAAAGUAUAGUAGCUGGACUCAUAUAUAUAUAUAUAGAGUGAGGCUACUAUGCUUCUGGAAGCAUGGAGCCUUCCGUGCUUCCAGGUCGUUUUUGAUGUUGCGACUUUCGAAUCGUCGAUCGGCUCUGUUAAACUUGAUCUAGAGUAUUUGAAGAACUUAGAAAAUAAAUUUUGCAAUUUUUCGAUAUCAUUUGCCUAGUGAACUAAGGGGCUCAAAAUCAACGGCUGAAAAUAAAAAUCUAACAAAACGUGAUAAUAUGACAUUAAAAUUCUAGAUCAAAGAUAUUGAUCUUGUUUUAUAUAGUAUAAAAAAUUUUCUAUCAAAAUUUCACGUGAUUUGGAUAUUCCUACACCAUUAAACUUGCAAACGGCUCACCGCCGCCAUUAAAAUUAUUGAUUUUGAGUCCCUUCGAUCACUAGGCAAAUGAUAUCGAAAAAUUACAAAAUUUAUUUUCUAGAUACUUCAAAUACUCUAGAUCAAGUUUAAUAGAGCCGAUCGACGAUUCAAAAGUUGCAACAUCGAAAACGACCUGAAAGCACGAAAGGCUCUGUGCUUCCAGAAGCAUAGUAGCCUCACUCUAUAUAUAUAUAUAUUAUAUAUAUAUAUAUAUAUAUAUAUUAAUAUAUAUAUAUUAUAUAUAUAUAUAUAAUAUAUAUAUAUAUGCAUUUCAAAUAUUUAUGGUGGUGGAGUUUGGCGGUUGCGAUUUGUUCCGUCUCUGUAGUAUCCUUGGUUUUUGGGUUGCUUGUGGAUCUCAGCAUCUGAGGCUUGGCGACACAUCGGGAGAGUGUCGGAACAAGUCGGAGUCGUUUUGGCACGAAACGGACGCAAAAUGGACUCGAUGCGAGGCGAGAGUGGAGUUUUGACGCUGAAAUCCGCAAAGUGCAGGAUUUCAGUGUUGAGUACCGGUACGGCAUCGGGCUGGUUACAAGUACCCUGUGUGCGAGCUUGCGAGCUGAGAGGCCGAGUACCGGUAACCAAAUCGGAUACCGGUACUCCAGCUGUAAAUUGAGUUGGUGAGGGGUAUGGAGGUUAUUUGGGUUGGUGGUUAUCCACACCACCAACUCUCCCUCGUAAUUAUCCACCUGAGGGAGAGUCCUUUGUUUAAUUAUGUUCCUCUCUCUCUCAAGUGUUAAUUUUGUCCUUGGUGGAGGCCACGACAGCUUGAGCUCGGAUCGACGUCGACGUUGUGUCGGAGAGCCGUUCGAGCGUGUGGACGUUGCGGUUGCGCCGUUGGAGGCCGGACGAGCGCGUGGUUUGCUCUCAUUUCGACUUCUCGCCGUGGUUGUAUUAGCGUUUCGAGGUGGAUUGUAGUUUACUGAAAUCAUUGGAAUAUCUUCUAAGUUUUAGCAUUUGACGACAUGUAUUAUUCGUUUAUCUUCUUGCUAGUACUCAAAUUCAUGGAUUAGUGUUUAAAUCUGAAUUUGGAGUUAAGCUAAUAGUUUAAUUUUACAUGUUGAACUUGGAAUUGACAUAGGAGAAAAUAUAUAGAUCCUGCACUGUCAUUUCUGAAAAUUACCAUAUUUAACUUUAGGAGCUGUGGUUCUAUUGUAUCGUCGCUGUUAGUAUACUAUGGAUACCCAGAUUAGUGUAGGAUGAGUUUACGCUCGUGCUGGGAUGCCGAGUUUAUUUUACAGUAGUGUGUAGACUGUUCUAGAUUGUCGGGUGCUGUCGCGGUUGACGGUGGACUCAGAUUUCUGUUUCUUGUAUAAGAUUGUGCCAAGAGCACGUUAGCUUUGGUUGUUAGA